UACGUAGGGCGCAAGCGUUGUCCGGAAUUAUUGGGCGUAAAGAGCUCGUAGGCGGCUUGUCACGUCUGCUGUGAAAUCCCAACGCUUAACGUUGGGCGUGCAGUGGGUACGGGCAGGCUAGAGUGCGGUAGGGGUGACUGGAAUUCCUGGUGUAGCGGUGGAAUGCGCAGAUAUCAGGAGGAACACCGAUGGCGAAGGCAGGUCACUGGGCCGCAACUGACGCUGAGGAGCGAAAGCAUGGGGAGCGAACAGG
rnacentral:rRNA from 1 species